rnacentral:lncRNA from 10 species
AAAAAAAGCCCUCUAGGUAUGUAGCUGAAACCCUGACAUAAAUGGAAACAGCUUCUCACCUAUUUCCUAAGUCAGUCCACAGACACAGAGCCCCCCGACUGAAGGAGAAACUGGGUCCAUUUGUGGAAGGCUGCACCAUAUGGUUCUUUUAUGCUUCUUGACGUUGGCUCCUACAACACAGCUUGUUUCUACAAAGCCUGUCCAGCCACAUCCACAGCUUUUGCAGGGCCAGCUCCAGGUAUCCAGACAGUGCUGACUCUGAAACCCCAUCAGUUGCCUUCAUGACAGAGUGCUGCUUGUAUGACACCUAUCUGUGGAUGGCUUCUACUGAUAUCUUCCUGAGUACUUUGCAGCCUCAGCAAACCCUGCCAUGCAGAUGUUCAUGGCUAUGCCCUCUCCAAUGAAUCUGGAUCGGUAUGGUGUGUGGAAGCUGGUUCCAGACCCUCUUGCUUCUAUUAUGUAUCAAUUCAGCCUUAUGGGUAGUGGCCCCUAUAAUUUGCUAUUACUCUAUUAUUAACAGUUCUGUUUAUUCUUUGCUAGCAAAUCCCCUCUUACAGUUAAUAAUUUUUGAUAUUAAGAUUACUGUCUGGUAACCUUAACCUGAUGUUUAUCUUCUGGAUCCUGACUGAUAUACCUCUUACAGUUUUGAUAUUUUUAGUUUGAGAAAAAAAGAAAGUACUAACAUUAAGGUCUGAUUGUUAGUCUUCCAGGAAUUAUUAAUUUUUUAGUUCUCUAUUAUUUAUAACUCAUCUAUUCUUGAAAUUACUAAAGCAAAUUAGAUAUAAUAUUUUGAAUGUUAUUUAAAUAAAAUUAACGCAAAUAAACUUAUCAAAACUUAGCUGAGCCCAGCAUCCAGGAGCAGGAAGGUCAUAGCUCCCACACCCUAAAGUGGGACAACGUAGAGUCAUAAGACAAAGAGUGUGGAUAGUGGGAGAAGUGAAGUGUUGGUGCCAAAUGAAACAAUUUAUUGCAUUUAAUAAAGAGUUAGAAAAACACCCUGAGGAAAAAAAAAGUUGUUAAUUGUGUCUAAAUCACUUAGUUUUAAGACUACUGACUUUACUAUUUUUAUAGAAAUAAAACAUUUUUUAGAAAAAAGUAAACCCAACAUCUAAAACUUUUAGAAGGUAUAGGCUUUUAAUAUAUGCGCAUUGACCUAGACAUUUAACUACAUAUGGAUACAAAUAAAAUAUUAUUAAAUACAUAUAAAAUAUAGUUAUAAUUUAAUAAAAGUGCAAUUUAAGUAAAACAUUAAAUUUAUUUUACUUAAUUUAAAAAAGUUAAAGGAAAUCAAAGUAAACAGAAUGGCUGAACAAAAUUUAUCUUUCACAAAGGAUAAUAUUAAAGGUCUAUUUAUUUAUAAGCAAAAAACAGUUUGAAAACUACUAGAGGUUCGAGGAUUAUGUGGUUUAAAUUACACAUUUUAUCCUCAUUCAUUAUACGAGUUGACAACCUACUAUAAAAAAUAAGAAAGAUUGUGAUCACUCACCUCUGUCUUCCCACUCACCCUUUUUCCUAAUUUUUAUUUCUGCUACUCAUGUUACUACUUUUAUUAUUUUUAUUUUUUCAGGGAUUAAUAACAUUUACAAUCAUAUAAUUAUUAUGGUCUAUAAUUCCCACAGUUGUUUAGCAUUAGUUCCAUAUUAAUAGGGAUUCCAAGCAAGUUUUGUACUAAGAUUUACUAUAUGUGCAGAAAAGUACACAUACAGUAAACGUUAAGCUCGCUAACACUUUAUAAAUGAAGACAUCAAUAUAUCCACACAGAACAUUACUAGCACUCCAAACAGCUCCCCACCCACUUGGUUCCAUCCGUAUUCCAGGGAAACUAGCACCUUGAUUUCUAAAAUAAUACCAAUUUAACGCUUUACAAAUUUUAAUAAGUGGGUUGACUGGAUUUUAUUGUCAAUAUUUUUAAUAAAAGGCUAUUGCUGUUGAAUUCUCUAAGUUAUUUCAUGUUUAAAAAUACGUGUCAUUGCUUUAAUGUCUUCCGGCAUCAAAUAUUCUAAUUUUCCUUUCUACCAAUUAUAUUAUUCAUCUUUUGGUUGUUCAUAUUGCAUUGUCAAGUAGCAUUUUUUUUUCAAAAAUUCUCAUGGCUAUGUGAGUUCCUCAAUACAUGUAUUUAUCCUUGAAUGCACACUUGGCUAGGUAUUUUAUUCUUAAGUUGUACCCUUUUUUUUCUUUCAGAAAUGUGCAGGCAUUUUACCAUUGUCUUCUGUCAUUUAUUGUUGAUAUAUAUAUAUAUAUAUAUAUAUAAAGGCAUUUGUGUCAUAUGAGUCCUCCAAGAAAAAGACACACAGACAGACUUAGAAAUGCCAGACAUUGAUUGAGGGUAACUCCCAUGAAAUAGAAAAGAAAGGUGGCAAUCAGAGUAAGACAUAGGCCAGACACACAUGAAAGCAGAGGUGGAAGGAAGAAGUGAAUAUGAAGGGCCUGGAACUAAGGUGUGGUUUUGAGGACAUCUCAGCCAUCCCAGUGAGAAGCUUUGGUUCAAAGACUGCCCAGAGAGGAGCCCUGGGCUGGGAGAAGAUGGCUAGUCAUGAGAAUACCAGACAUGCUCAGUAGGUUACUGAGGUGGCCACACUGGGAAAUGUGUGAUUUUGUGUCAAAUGCUGUCACAGAUCUUUAAAAGAGUACAGCUGUAGGUUGUCAGUUAACUUCAUUCCUCACAGCUGAGUGGAAAAUGUUUUCUUGAAGGCACAGCCUCAUGGUUGCCAGAUAUUAUCCUUUUUCCUUUCUAUGUUCCUGGAAAUUCUUUCUCUAUCUCUUUUUUCAUGGUCUCACUCUGUUACCCAAGGUGGAGUAUAGUGGCUCAUGAUCAUAGCUCACUGUUACCUUAAACUCCUGGGUUCAAGCAAUCCUCCCACCUCAGACUCCCCAACAGUUAGGACUACAGACAUGCAUCACCAUGCCCAGUUAUUUUUUCAUUCUUUCUUUUUUUUUUUUUUUUUGUAGAGAUGGGGGGUCUCAGUAUGUUGUCCAUGCUGGUCUCAAACUCUAAAACUCCUGGCCUCAAGUAGUCUUGGUCUCCCAAAGCACUGUGAUUACAGGUGUGAACGAUAGCACCUGGUCCCCAAAUUCUUUAUCCUUGAAAUUAAACAAUCUCAGUAUAAAUCGUUUUAUAUUAUUAUUUUAUUUCUUUAUGGACCACUCUAUCUUUUUUAAAUUCUGCACAUCUAUUUCUUUAUCACAGGAUAUCUUUUUGGUAUUCCAUCAUGAUUUUUUCUCUUUUUUCAUAUGGUAACUUAGGCACUAACUUUCCUCUGAGAAUCUUCUCAAAUAUUAUCUACCUAGUUUUAUUCUGGGAAGCAUAUCCCAUUUCUAUGGGACAAUGCUCUCAAGCUAUUGAUCUAUCUUCUGAUUCAAUAUGAUACUCUAGAUGAUGUGAUCUGUGAAUGAAAUUCCUGUAUAAAAAUGCUGCAUACAUGGAUACAAUCUCCUACUGUAACUAGUUUUUCUAUGACUUUUCCUGAGUGCAGUGUAUAAAAAUCUAUUGCAGGAAAUUGAUUUCUUUAUUUUAAUUUUGAUGCUAUUUGUGAAUAAUUGCUUUUAAAAUAAAAGUAUUCUUUAUUUUCUUUCCUUCUGAGAUAAUUUCAUUAUGUGGCAUCAGUUAGCAUUUCUACUGUUCAAUAAAAU